UCCUGACCCCAUUCCCAUCUAUUGC
rnacentral:piRNA from 1 species